AUUCUCAACCAUAUCCGGUCUCUGGCUUUGGGCUCUUCUUCCGGUUCCUGGGGGGCAAGCCAGGAGGUGGAGGGAGAGGAAUCCUGCAGGAAUCGCACAUGGAUGGGUGGAUUAGCUGAUAUCAACAAGAUGACAGACCAACUAAUUAGAUUCAUGGUGUUAUUUCUUACCUUAACCAUCUGGUUUCCCUUGAUUGUCAGCCAAGGGGACUACAGAUGGCUAUGGUCCCACGCUCAUGUUGCCUAUACCGGAAGUAUGGGGCUACAUUCCAUCAGUGGCAGUGGUUAAUUAAACUUAGCCACUGUGGUCACACACAGAACCAAAGUGUACUUAGAAAAUGAGUGAGGCUGGGACAGAAAGAGGUGAAUUCCCUUUUUGCAGGGAAUUCCUGGAGAAGAAAUUUGAACAGGAUGUAGAAUGAUCAAUGGAACCACAAAUGAAAAAGCUACUCAAAUUACAGCAUCCAACAGUACCUCACCCUCAAGGGCGAAAUUAACAAAGCUUUGUGCCUCUGAGAAGUUAGAUUGCUGGCUAAAUUUCACUCUGCCACUUUUGUAAAAUGUCUUUGGCAACAAAAACAGGUGCCCAUCUAUCAUAGCAUGGGGUUAACAUUUAGGUUUAAAAUAGACACUAUCAAACCUGUUUCCACUACAGGAUGGCUGAGUAUAAGGAAAAUAGACCCAUGCAACUCUUCUGUGAGACAAUUUGAGACCUUUAACCAAACUGGUGGGAGGGUGACUCGCAUGAACUAUACAAAAUCAGGAGAACCCUUUCCAGAAAGUCUUACUGUGUGCUGUGAAACAAAUAAGGUACCUGAAUCGCUUACAAUAAUGGUGAACAAUGAGAAUAGAGCUCACUGUCUCCAUGAUGCCUGUUGCUCCUUGACAGCUGACACCGGUCAGUAUAUAUUUGAGGAGAUGGCAAGAACAAAAGUGUUAAAAAUAAACUUAAUGUGUGUGAAAAUUGAUCUCACCACCACGGUAGCCCCUACUAUGACUCCACUAAGGGAAAAUAUGUUGACCCCACAAUUAUUCAAAAUUGGACUGUAUGUAGUAAAAAAUAUGGAUCAACAGCAAAUGCUGCAUAAUCCAUCAUGGUCCCUCAAAUGAGUAGAAUUAUCAAUGCAAAUUGACAUCUCUGUGAUCAGACUUACCUGCUCACCAUUCCUGAGUACAUCUUACACAGGAUGGUCAACGUGGUUGUGUACAUGAAUCCUCACGUCUCUCAAACUCCCAAGGAGAGAUGUAACCGGUAUCCUAGGAACAGGACUGGGAAUCUUAAACAGUAUAGAUGCUGAGAUAUUUGCAAACAAAUUAGUCACAGUGACUAAUGAUCUAAAUAAACUGGAUCAUCCACCACAGUCUUCUCUUUUAGCAUUGGGGAUCAAACAAUGGCUUUUAUACGAUACAUUACCUCACUGGGAAGAAACUGACGAAAAGGAUGACCAGUUGAUUGUAAAUGCACUUGAUGUGGCCCAAAAUGAUGUUUCUUUGGCUCUUAGUUGUAUCUGAGCUCAAUUGUGGAUACAAUCAAUGGCAGCUGUCAUCAUAAGGGGAGGUGAAGAAUAAUACCGAAACACACCUCUGUCUCAAAGGAUACCCACCUCCAGCAUACUUUCAAGCAAGCGCAGUGAAGUUUUUACCUUAAAAAUCGAAGCGAGAGUUUUCACACCAAUCAAUAACAAAGUUCAGUUCCUCGGAUCAGCUGACUGAAGCCAGCUCUACCGGAGCCGGGAGCGAAAUCUCGAAGCUACAGAGGCAAGUGCUGGAUUUUGCACCUGGGACACAGCAACCCUGGAUGGACAUAGAGACUGAAGAACGAGAGGCUGGAGAACAGAUCUGUGGAGAGACAUCUGGGAGUUCUGGUCAACGACACGUUGAACAUGAGCCAACACUGUGCCCUGGCAGCCAACUGUGUCCUGGGGUGCAUCAAGCACAGCAUUGCCAGUCAGUCAAGGGAGGUGAUUGUCCCGCUUUCUCUGCACUGCUGCGGCCUCACCUGAAGCACUGUGUGCUGUUUUGGGUGCCACUGUAUAUAAAGGAUAUAAAGUUACUGGAGAGUGUCAAGAAAUGGGCCACAAAGUUGGUGAAGGGUUUAGAGUGGAAGCUAUAUGAGGAGUGGCUAAAGUCACUUGGUUUGUUCAGCCUGGAGAAGACCUCAUCGUGGUCUACACAAGGGGAGAAGGAGGGGUAAGCGCUGAUCUCUUCUCUCUGGUGACCAAUGACAGAAACCGAGGGAACGGCAGGAAGAUGUGCCAGGGGAGAUGUAAGUUGGACAUUAACAAAAGGUUCUUCACCCAGAGGGUGGUAGAGCAUGGGAACAGGCUCCCCAGGGAGGUAGUUAUGGCCCCAAGCCUGGCAGUAUUCAAGAAGAGAUUGGACAAUAUCCUCAGAUACAUGGUGUGAAUUUUGUGGUUGUGCUAUGCAGGGACAGGAGUUGGACUCAAUGAUCCUUGUGGGUCCCUUCCAACUCAGGACAUUAUAUGAUUCUAUUCUAAAGAAGUCAUCAACUCUGAAUAUAUUUCAGUGGAAGCAAUAAUUUUCUGCCAGCAUAUUCAAUUUCUGGAUUCAAUAACAAACUUCUAUAAACACAUGAUCAAGUAGGAAAAAGAAAUCCUUCAGGAACAACAUCAUUAAUUCUUUUUAUGAAUGAGAAAGGAUCAUUGAGUAUUUCUUACUAAUCUAAACACUCAGGAAUUAGUUUUGCCAAUGACUUCCAGCUCACUUGUUGCAUGGUGGAUGGAUGACAUCAAGAGAGCCAACCAGCAAGAAUGUGGUCACAAAAGUGAUGCUUUUUUUCCCAGUCAACAAGGGCCUUUUUAAAGAAAAAAAAGAAAGCCAUGUUAAUGAGCAACUGCAACACUGUAUGUAAAAUAUAUUGGAGUGCAGAUAGAAGAAAGCAACUUUGGUUAGUGACCAAUGAGGCAGCCAAAUAAAAUAAGGUGCAUAAGAGACUGAAAUGUGCAAUGAUGUUCUCCAUUAUUUCAUGAGAAAAGAGUGGUGCAUAACUAGAAUGCAUUAACGUUAAAUAAUUAAGCUCUCCUACCUCUUCAAUUUCCUUAGUGAAGCGUGUUAGAAAAAAAAGUAUAAUUUACAAAACUUCAACAUGUUAGAUGCUUACUGAAAUUAUACGUAUAUUUAAAAAAAUAAGUAGAUAUGCUAGAUCAUUAAGCAAAAUAUGAGAACAGUUCUCUUUUAGUCUUUUUCACUAGAUUUUUAGCUUUAGAAGCCAAGAGAUGUUCUUCUGACUACUCAAGUCACCUGCAACAGUUAAAAGCAUUUUUAAACUUGUUCAUGUUCCCCUCCUCCCAUCUUCCAGACUCUGUAGAGAAGAUAUUCAACUGCCUUACAUAUCUCAGAAUGGGUAACAAUUGUGCACAUCUCAUAUUUUAAAUAAAUUCAUUUUAACAAUUUCAGUAAAUAUGGAAAAGAGCAAAUACAUUAUUUAGAAACAAAAAUUGCAUAAAACAGUGCAUUAAUGGGGACUGAAUGAAUCAGUACAAAAGGUCUGGCCUCCAGAAAAACAGAAAUACUUGACAACAUUACCUCUUUUAUAUCAUCUUUAGCUUGCUGCAGUUUAUCAGGUCUGUUGGCAAGUUGGAGCUUUGAUUCAGCUUCACGUUUUUUUUGUAAAGUGACCUGAGCAUCUUGGCAUUUCUGCCAGCAUUUCAUUCGAUGAUCAAACACACCCUGAAAGUACAGGAAUCUAUUAAGCAAUUGCAAUUGUUAAAACUAUCUAAAUUCCUAUUAGGAAAACAUAUUUCUGGACAAAACUGGAACAAGUGUACUCAAAAGAAACCUCACUGUGUCUUGGAUUUCAUUUGACAACAUGCUUGCACACCUAAAUACCAUCUAAAAAUAACAGAGGGCAUUCAAGAAGCCUCUUUAGAGCAGACACCUUGGUCUUGCAAAUUGUUUUAUGUUCCUUGUCCCAUUGCAAUACUACCAAAGCAACCACUGAAAACUGCUAUAAUACACAAAUGCUUCUCUAAAUACAGAUUCUAGCAAACUUUUAAACUGACUAUAUGCAUAACUGGCUGUACAUUUUUAUUAGCAAUGAAUGGAGGUAGUAGAAUUUAAGUAUACAUUUUUAUAUCUUAUGUAUUCUAUAUAAUAACACAUAGACUAUAACUACA